GAAUCGAUAGAACUUGCAACAACAACAUAUUAAUUACACCAAAUCGGCAAGUCCCAGGAUAUAAUUAUUUCUCAGGAAACCAACAGAAACCCAUAUGAAAAUUCAAAGAAGUGAAAUAGAAUCACCCUUCAUCAACGCGCAGGUACCAAAUUAUGGAACGUCACAAAAGAAAGCAAAAAAGAAAAAGAACCCAAAAUUUUUCUGUCAAC
rnacentral:misc_RNA from 1 species